AGGAUGAUUCGGACGAGGCAAGUCAAAUGGCGGCUUCAAGGGUUUCGGUCGUCUUUCUAGUAGUUUGCUCGUGGUGAAAUGGCGACAUGAGGCUGUGUGAUAGUGUCAAAAUAGAGGGAAGCAAACUGAAGUUAUCCUUCACCAUUUGGAGAGAGAGGCCAACUGCAGGGAAUGGCGUCGAUUAAUGCGGAUGAAUCGGAGCACGUAUCAAACCCAUUCCAUGGAGGACAAAGUGUCUGCGUGUUUUCGCUCCACACCUGUACUUGAUUAAUGAAUUAAGACCUUAAUCUGAGGCCAGUAAUCUGAGGCCAGUAACAUCAACAGUGAGGACAAACGCAGCCUGUCUUUCUCCUUCCACACUGAGUAGGAACUUACAGUUACUGGGUCCUGAUUGUGACAGUGGAGUCCAGUUUGCACUGCAGGAUCCAGAGAUGGCAUCAGUGAAGCUGGAAGACUACAGUCAAACACUGGAGCUGAAUGUCAACAUUAAAGAUGAAGAAGAGGAGGAGAAGAUUAGGACAACUGUUAGUCAUGGAGACCAUGUUGAGACAUUCUCCACAUCCAGAGAGCAAGAGCAGGAAGAUCAGAGAGCCACAAGGUCUCAUCUCUGCCCACAUUGUGAAGAGAUUUUCCCAUUUAUAUCAAAGCUAAAAAUACACCUAAAAAUACACACAGGAGAGAAGCCUUACUCCUGCUCUGACUGUGGAAAAUGUUUUAAAACAUCAAAUGAGCUAAAGGUUCAUCAAAGAACACACACAGGUGAGAAGCCAUACUCCUGCUCUGACUGUGGAACUAGUUUCUCUCAACUUUCCCACUUAAAAUCACAUGAACGUAUACAUACAGGGGAGAAGCCUUACUCCUGCUCUGACUGUGGAAAAUGUUUCAAAACAUCAACUGAGCUAAACAUUCACCAGAGAAAUCACACAGGAGAGAAGCCAUACUCCUGCUCUGGCUGUGGAAAACGUUUUAAAACAUCAACUCAGCUAAAAGUUCAUCAGAAGACUCACAUAGGAGAGAAGCCUUUCUUCUGCCCUGACUGUGGAACUAGUUUCUCUCAACUUUCCCACUUAAAGACACAUGAACGUAUACAUACAGGGGAGAAGCCAUACUCCUGCUCUGACUGUGGAAAAUGUUUUAUAACAUCAAAUCAGCUAAAGGUUCAUCAAAGAACACACACAGGUGAGAAGCCAUACUCCUGCUCUGACUGUGGAAAAUGUUUUAAAACAUCAAAUGAGCUAAAAGUUCAUCAAAGAACACACACAGGUGAGAAGCCAUACUCCUGCUCUGACUGUGGAAAAUGCUUUACAACAUCAACUGAUCUAAAAGUUCAUCAAAGAACACACACAGGAGAGAAGCCUUUCUUCUGCCCUGACUGUGGAACUAGUUUCUCUCAACUUUCCCACUUAAAAUCACAUAAACGUAUACAUACAGGGGAGAAGCCUUAUUCCUGCUCUGACUGUGUAAAAUAUUUCAAAACAUCAACUGAGCUAAAAAUUCAUAAGAGAAAUCACACAGGAGAGAAGCCAUACUCCUGCUCUGACUGUGGAAAAUGUUUUAAAACAUCAACUGAGCUAAAAGUUCAUCAGAGAACACACACAGGAGAGAAGCCUUAUUCCUGCCCUGACUGUGGAACUACUUUCUCUAAACUUUACCACUUAAAAUUACAUGAACGUAUACAUACAGGUGAGAAGCCAUACUCCUGCUCUGACUGUGGAAAAUGUUUUAAAACAUUAAAUGAGCUAAAAGUUCACCAGAGAACACACACAGGAGAGAAGCCUUACUUCUGCUCUGACUGUGGGACUAGUUUCUGUCAACUCUCCCACUUAAAAUCCCAUGAACGUAUACAUACAGGGGAGAAGCCAUACUCCUGCUCUGACUGUGGAAAAUGUUUUAAAACAAUAAAUGAGCUAAAAAUUCACCAGAGAACACACACAGGAGAGAAGCCUUACUUCUGCUCUGACUGUGGGACUAGUUUCUCUCAACUUUCCCACUUAAAAUCCCAUGAACGUAUACAUACAGGGGAGAAGCCAUUCUCCUGCUCUGACUGUGGAAAAUGUUUAAAAACAUCAAAUGAGCUAAAAGUUCAUCAGAGAACACACACCGGAGAAAAGCCUUACUCCUGUUCUGACUGUGGUUUAAGUUUCUCUCGACUGUAUACCUUAAAAAAACAUCAACAUACACAUGGAGAGAAACCAUACUCCUGCUCUGCCUGUGUAAAAUGCUUCAAAACAGCAACUGAGCUAAAGGUUCAUCAGAGAACACACUCAUGAGAGAAGCCUGCUUACGUCUGCUCUGACUUUUGGGUGAGUUUCUGUAAGUCAAACGUCUAGCUAAAGGCUGCUUGUUUGAAUCUCAUUCAGGAGGACUUGAGCAUUUCAGCUAAUUAGCAACUUUGCAACUACUUACUACUUUUUAACUAUGUUAGCAUGUUAGCUUAGCAUGCAACUACUUAGCAUGUUAGCUAACCUUUCCCCUAAACCCAUUUAACUCUACCUUAAACCCCUCACCCCUAACCUAGCUAACGUUAGCAACAACAAAUUGGAAUUCGUAACAUAUCAAACAUAUUACAAGUUCGUAACAUAUUGUAUGAAUAACAAUGCGUAAAAUAACAUAAGAAUUGUAAUUCUUAACAUACGAUACAUCCUGCAAGUCGUAUUAUACUGAACAACAAUCUAAAUCUAACAAGUUCGAACAUUUAUGGUUUGUGUAAGGAAAUCAGUCAUUUUAAAUCAAUUAGGCCCUAAUCUAUGGAUUUCACAUGACUGGGCAGGGGCUCAUGAAUGGGUGGGACUUGGGAGGGCAUAGGCCCACUUGGGAGCCAGGCCCAGCCAGUCAGAAUGAGUUUUUCCACACAAAAGGUUUUUAUUACAGACAGAAAUACUACUCAGCCCCCCCAGACAAUCCUGCAGGUGAAGAGGUCCUGGGCUGCCAUGGUUACAUGUGAUCUGCAGUUGUGAGGCUGGUUGGAUGUACUGCCAAAUUCUCUAAAAGGACGAAGGACGUUAGAGGUGGCAGCUCUGGUGGACGUUCCUGCAGUCAUCAUGAGAAUUGCACAUUCCCUAAACUUGAGACAUCUGUGAUGUAGUGUGGCCUUUAUUUAGGCUUAAAUGCUCACUAACAGGGAUAUUAACUCAUUUGUGCACAACAUUUGAGAGAAAUAAGAUUUGUGUUCCUAUGGAACAUCUCUGGAAUGUUUUAUUUCAGCUCAUGAAACCAACACUUUACAUGUUUUGUAAAGUUUAUAUUGGUAGGCCAAUGUAAUGUAACCUAACAUGCUAAAUGGAGUGGAAUGGAUGUUUUUGUAACAUAUAAUACGUUUUGCUCUGAGACCAGGUUGUCCCUCUGCAGUAUUCUGUGGGAAGGAGCUAGUAGACACUUCUUACAUUUUUUAUUUAACCUUUAUUUAACUAGGCAAGUCAGUUAAGAACAAAUUCUUAAUUACAAUGAUGGCCUAGGAACAGUGGGUUAACUGCCUUGUUCAGAGGCAGAACAACAGAUUUUUACCUUGUCAGUUCAGGGACCUUUUGGUUACUGGCCCAACGCUCUAACCACAAGUCUACCUUCCACGCCUAACAUGAAUCAGAUAGAGAUGGUGUGAUGAUCACUUUUCACCAUUAGUUUGGGGGGAUUAUUUUACAACUUUAUUUAAUGAUACACAGUUUAUGAAAUGAAUACGUGUGUUUAUUAAUUGUCUUUAAAACUAGAUGAGUUAUUUUAGUUACUGAUCAUGAAUGUGUUUGGAUAACUGCAUUGAAGCAAACUUUAUUGAUCUGCCAAUGAAAAAUAAAGUUACAUGAAUAUGUA